rnacentral:rRNA from 1 species
ACAUGCAAGUCGAGCGGACAGAUGGGAGCUUGCUCCCUGAUGUUAGCGGCGGACGGGUGAGUAACACGUGGGUAACCUGCCUGUAAGACUGGGAUAACUCCGGGAAACCGGGGCUAAUACCGGAUGGUUGUUUGAACCGCAUGGUUCAAACAUAAAAGGUGGCUUCGGCUACCACUUACAGAUGGACCCGCGGCGCAUUAGCUAGUUGGUGAGGUAACGGCUCACCAAGGCAACGAUGCGUAGCCGACCUGAGAGGGUGAUCGGCCACACUGGGACUGAGACACGGCCCAGACUCCUACGGGAGGCAGCAGUAGGGAAUCUUCCGCAAUGGACGAAAGUCUGACGGAGCAACGCCGCGUGAGUGAUGAAGGUUUUCGGAUCGUAAAGCUCUGUUGUUAGGGAAGAACAAGUACCGUUCGAAUAGGGCGGUACCUUGACGGUACCUAACCAGAAAGCCACGGCUAACUACGUGCCAGCAGCCGCGGUAAUACGUAGGUGGCAAGCGUUGUCCGGAAUUAUUGGGCGUAAAGGGCUCGCAGGCGGUUUCUUAAGUCUGAUGUGAAAGCCCCCGGCUCAACCGGGGAGGGUCAUUGGAAACUGGGGAACUUGAGUGCAGAAGAGGAGAGUGGAAUUCCACGUGUAGCGGUGAAAUGCGUAGAGAUGUGGAGGAACACCAGUGGCGAAGGCGACUCUCUGGUCUGUAACUGACGCUGAGGAGCGAAAGCGUGGGGAGCGAACAGGAUUAGAUACCCUGGUAGUCCACGCCGUAAACGAUGAGUGCUAAGUGUUAGGGGGUUUCCGCCCCUUAGUGCUGCAGCUAACGCAUUAAGCACUCCGCCUGGGGAGUACGGUC